GGUUGCGAUCAUACCAGCACUAAUGCACCGGAUCCCAUCAGAACUCCGCAGUUAAGCGUGCUUGGGCGAGAGUAGUACUAGGAUGGGUGACCCCUUGGGAAGUCCUCGUGUUGCAACGC
rnacentral:rRNA from 1 species